rnacentral:rRNA from 1 species
GAUGAACGCUGGCGGCGUGCUUAACACUUGCAAGUCGAACGAUGAAGCCCAGCUUGCUGGGUGGAUUAGUGGCGAACGGGUGAGUAACACGUGAGUAACCUGCCCUUAACUCUGGGAUAAGCCUGGGAAACUGGGUCUAAUACCGGAUAGGAGCGUCCACCGCAUGGUGGGUGUUGGAAAGAUUUAUCGGUUUUGGAUGGACUCGCGGCCUAUCAGCUUGUUGGUGAGGUAAUGGCUCACCAAGGCGACGACGGGUAGCCGGCCUGAGAGGGUGACCGGCCACACUGGGACUGAGACACGGCCCAGACUCCUACGGGAGGCAGCAGUGGGGAAUAUUGCACAAUGGGCGCAAGCCUGAUGCAGCGACGCCGCGUGAGGGAUGACGGCCUUCGGGUUGUAAACCUCUUUCAGUAGGGAAGAAGCGAAAGUGACGGUACCUGCAGAAGAAGCACCGGCUAACUACGUG